GAUGAAGAACGUAGCGAAAUGCGAUAAGUAAUGUGAAUUGCAGAAUUCAGUGAAUCAUCGAAUCUUUGAACGCACAUUGCGCCCUCUGGUAUUCCGGGGGGCAUGCCUGUUCGAGCGUCAUUAUAACCACUCAAGCUCUCGCUUGGUAUUGGGGUUCGCGGUUUCGCGGCCCCUAAAAUCAGUGGCGGUGCCUGUCGGCUCUACGCGUAGUAAUACUUCUCGCGAUUGAGUUCGAUAGGUCUACUUGCCAGUAACCCCCAAUGUUUACAGGUUGACCUCGGAUCAGGUAGGGAUACCCGCUGAACUUAAGCAUAUCAAUAAGCGGAGGA
rnacentral:misc_RNA from 1 species